ACUGAACAUGCUAAAGAGAUCGUAACUCGAUCUGGUCAUUGAAGCAGGAAACAACUCUAAGCAACAUAAACAAAAAUGAAGCAAUGUGCUAUUGCCGUUCUCUGUCUUCUUGCAUGGACUGAAUUUAUUUUUGCAAGUUUUGCUCCUUCAUCCGCUGAUUGCUGCACAAGAAUAUCAAAAGGGGUACUAGAUGAAAAGAUUCAAAAAAGAAUAAAACAUGUUUAUUUUCAAAAAAGCGGUGUGUGCGCAAGAAAUGCUGUUGUGUUUAUUACACAAAAAAAUAGGGAAAUUUGUGCUGAUCCAAAUGCAGAUUGGGUGACAGAUCUAAUUAUUAAACUGAAAAAUCCUACACCUAACAAAAAGAUCAAGAAUGAAAAUAAAGGCCAAAGAAGUAAAAAAAAGGGUCACGGAAGAAAAAAGGGGAAAAAUAAACAGAAAAAAGGGAAAGGAAAAUCACAGCAGAAAUUAACAACGUUAAGCUAUACACAGUGAUGUUAAUUCAUGAAAGAUUUAAGCUAAUAUCAAGAGUAUAAAAAAUAUGUCCAUCCAUGUUUAUUUCUGUUACAGUUUAACUUUAGCAACAUUUUAUAAAAUAUAUAAAUCACAGAAUAUAACAACUGCAUUUGCAGAAAGGUCUGGAAUUAAUAUGUGCAUGUAAUGUUUUAAUAUAACACAUAUACUGUAUUUA